CUAGAUACUUUCCUAGUUUUACAACAGACUACAUAAAAAGCACUAGCUAAGUCAGUACAAAGUAAAAAUUUCAUAGACAAUGAUUUGUUUAUACUACCAUGUAUAGUAUACACUGAAAUCUAAGGACAAUAUUUAUAUCCCAGUUCAUUUAUUUUAUAAUUAUAUGGUAAAAAUGAGAAGGUAAGCAAUUUUUCAAUAAUAGUAUGCUGUGAUACUUUUAUAUUUUUAUGUCUGAUUUUUGUAGGCAAAUUAU